GGCACCGUAACCCAUGUCCCUAAGUGCCACACUCACACAUCUUUUAAAUAUCUCCAGGGAUGGUGACUCCACCACUUCACUGGGCAGCCUGUUCCAAUGCUUGACAACUCUUUUAGGGAAGAAAUUUUUCCUAAUAUCCAAUCUAGAUCUCCCCUGGUGCAACACAGGGUUGUCUCCUCUUGUCCUUUCACUUGUUACCUGGAGAAGAGACUGAUCCCCAC